UGCGUAGGUGGUCGGGUAAGUCCGAGGUGAAAUCUCCAAGCUUAACUUGGAAACUGCCUUGGAUACUAUUCGGCUGGAGGGUUGGAGGGGGGACUGGAAUGCUUGGUGUAGCAGUGAAAUGCGUAGAUAUCAAGCGGAACACCAGUGGCGAAGGCGAGUCCCUGGACAACUCCUGACACUGAGGCACGAAAGCUAGGGGAGCAAACA
rnacentral:rRNA from 1 species